rnacentral:rRNA from 1 species
AACGUACGCUGGCGGCACGCCUAACACAUGCAAGUCGAACGAAGUAGCAAUACUUAGUGGCAGACGGGUGAGUAACAUGUAGGUAUCUACCCUUUGGCCUGGAAUAACACGAGGAAACUUGUGCUAAUACCGGAUAAGUCUUUACGGAGAAAGCUUUAUGCACCAUUGGAUGAGCCUGCACUUGAUUAGUUUGUUGGUGGGGUAAUGGCCUACCAAGACUGUGAUCAAUAGCUGAUUUGAGAGGAUGAUCAGCCACAUUGGGACUGAGACACGGCCCAAACUCCUACGGGAGGCAGCAGUGGGGAAUCUUGCACAAUGGAGGAAACUCUGAUGCAGCGAUGCCGCGUGAGUGAAGAAGGCCCUUGGGUUGUAAAGCUCUUUCGUCGGGGAAGAAAAUGACUGUACCCGAAUAAGAAGGUCCGGCUAACUUCGUGCCAGCAGCCGCGGUAAUACGAAGGGACCUAGCGUAGUUCGGAAUUACUGGGCUUAAAGAGUUCGUAGGUGGUUGAAAAAGUUGGUGGUGAAAUCCCAGAGCUUAACUCUGGAACUGCCAUCAAAACUUUUCAGCUAGAGUAUGAUAGAGGAAAGCAGAAUUUCUAGUGUAGAGGUGAAAUUCGUAGAUAUUAGAAAGAAUACCAAUUGCGAAGGCAGCUUUCUGGAUCAUUACUGACACUGAGGAACGAAAGCAUGGGUAGCGAAGAGGAUUAGAUACCCUCGUAGUCCAUGCCGUAAACGAUGUGUGUUAGACGUUGGAAAUUUAUUUUCAGUGUCGCAGCAAAAGCGAUAAACACACCGCCUGGGGAGUACGACCGCAAGGUUAAAACUCAAAUGAAUUGACGGGGACCCGCACAAGUAGUGGAGCAUGUGGUUUAAUUCGAAGAUACGCGCAGAACCUUACCAACACUUGACAUGUUCGUCGCGACUCUAAGAGAUUAGAGUUUUCGGUUCGGCCGGACGAAACACAGGUGCUGCAUGGCUGUCGUCAGCUCGUGUCGUGAGAUGUUGGGUUAAGUCCCGCAACGAGCGCAACCCUCACUUUUAGUUGCCAUCAUUAAGUUGGGCACUCUGAAAGAACUGCCAGUGAUAAGCUGGAGGAAGGUGGGGAUGACGUCAAGUCCUCAUGGCCCUUACGUGUUGGGCUACACACGUGCUACAAUGGUAUCUACAACAGGAAGCAAGACGGCGACGUCAAGCAAAUCCUUAAAAGAUACCUCAGUUCGGAUUGCACUCUGCAACUCGAGUGCAUGAAGCUGGAAUUACUAGUAAUCGUGGAUCAGCGUGCCACGGUGAAUGCGUUCCCGGGUCU